GUAGGUGAACCUGCGGAGGGAUCAUUACCGAAUGGCCCUCGGGCCGUCGACCCUUCAAACCCGUGGAAGACAGAAGAUUGUGCUUCGACGCCCCGGCGUCGUGUUAAUGCAGUGCCCAGUCCGUCGUCUGAACAGGAAAUGAAUGAUUUAAAACUUUCAACAAAGGAUCUCUUGGCUCUC
rnacentral:misc_RNA from 1 species